rnacentral:rRNA from 1 species
AGAACGAACGUUGGCGGCGUGGAUUAGGCAUGCAAGUCGAACGAAUCCCAUUGGUGUAGCAAUACAUUGGUGGGGGAAGUGGCGAAAGGGGCAGUAAUGCAUGGGUAACCUACCUUGGGGAUGGGCAUAGCCGUUCUAACGAACGGGUAAUACCCAGCGAUUCGGCGGAAAGGCAUCUUUCUGCCGGGAAAUGAGUUUCGCCUCGAGAGGGGCCCAUGUCGUAUUAGCUAGUUGGUGGGGUAACGGCCUACCAAGGCGAAGAUGCGUAGCGGGUGUGAGAGCACGACCCGCGCCACUGGCACUGAGACACUGGCCAGACACCUACGGGUGGCUGCAGUCGAGGAUCUUCGUCAAUGGGCGAAAGCCUGAACGAGCGACGCCGCGUGCGCGAUGAAGGCCUUCGGGUUGUAAAGCGCGAAGUGGGGAUAAAGCGAAAGUUUGAUUGAUCCACAGUAAGGACGGGCUAAGUUCGCGCCAGCAGCCGCGGU